rnacentral:rRNA from 1 species
UACGAAGGGUGCAAACGUUGCUCGGAAUUAUUGGGCGUAAAGCGCACGUAGGCGGCUUUGCAAGUCCCAUGUGAAAUCCCACGGCUCAACCGUGGAAGUGCAUGGGAAACUGCAGAGCUUGAGUACUUAAGAGGAUCGCGGAAUUCCCGGUGUAGAGGUGAAAUUCGUAGAUAUUCGGAAGAACACCAGUGGCGAAGGCGACUUACUGGACACAUAUUGACGCUGAGGUGCGAAAGCGUGGGGAGCAAACAGG